GAGGCUAUAAGCCAGACAGACAGGUGUGUGGUUCCCAUCACGUCUAGUUUAGACCAGGUAGUGCGGCCUUGGUUAGAGGCUAUAAGCCAGACAGACAGGUGUGUGGUUCCCACCACGUCUAGUUUAGACCAGGUAGUGCGGCCUUGGUUAGGGGCUAUAAGACAGACAGACACACAGCACAGUCCACCACUACCCACUCUUCAGGAUGAAGGUCUUUUUGCUCCUGUCUCUGCUGGCUCCUGUAGCCGUCCUCUCUCAGUUCUACCUCCCUCAGGACUGUGAUGACAUCUAUCAACAUGACAACACCAAACCCAGUGGGGUGUACACCAUCUACCCUGGGGGUCCCAUCACCCCCUUGCACGUAUACUGUGACAUGAACACGGAUGGAGGGAGGUGGACUGUGUUCCAAAGGAGAAUGGAUGGAACAGAGAACUUUUACAGACCCUGGGCACACUACAAAUCUGGCUUUGGUAAUGUGGCUGGAGAGUACUGGCUGGGUCUGGAUAACAUCUUCCUCCUGACGAUGAGGAAGAAGAAUGAGCUGAGAGUGGACAUGGAGGACUUUGAGGGAGGGAAGGUUUAUGCUAAAUACACGUCCUUCUCCAUUGAUCCUGAGAACUACGGAUACACACUGAGACUGGGCACUUAUGUAGACGGAGGGGCAGAUCUGGGGCUCAAAACACGACGGGUUGCCACUGCCACUGCACGACAGGUUGCCACUGCACGACAGGUUGCCACUGCACGACGGGUUGCCACUGCACGACAGGUUGCCACUGCACGACGGGUUGCCACUGCACGACAGGUUGCCACUGCACGACAGGUUGCCACUGCACGACGGGUUGCCACUGCACGACGGGUUGCCACUGCACGACAGGUUGCCACUGCACGACGGGUUGCCACUGCACGACGGGUUGCCACUGCACGACGGGUUGCCACUGCACGACAGGUUGCCACUGCACGACAGGUUGCCACUGCACGACGGGUUGCCACUGCACGACGGGUUGCCACUGCACGACAGGUUGCCACUGCACGACGGGUUGCCACUGCACGACAGGUUGCCACUGCACGACGGGUUGCCACUGCACGACAGGUUGCCACUGCACGACGGGUUGCCACUGCCACUGCACGACGGGUUGCCACUGCACGACAGGUUGCCACUGCACGACAGGUUGCCACUGCACGACAGGUUGCCACUGCACGACGGGUUGCCACUGCACGACGGGUUGCCACUGCACGACGGGUUGCCACUGCACGACGGGUUGCCACUGCACGACGGGUUGCCACUGCACGACGGGUUGCCACUGCACGAUUCUUACCUCUUUGUUGAUUGAUAUCUAUUGAAUUGUGUCUAUUUUCUGUUUUUUAGAAAGAUUUGCACAAAUAUGAAAUGAUAGAUGGUAUCAUCAUAAAACAAUAUCAAUGUAGAUCAUACAAGGGACAAACCUUAAAUUGAGGAGAUCUGCACCUGCUGUCCUUUGAAAUUCAAAUCCAAAUGUUGGGCAGUUAGGUUCAGUUGGGCAGUUAGGUUCAGUUGGGGAGUUAGGUUCAGUUGGGCAGUUAGGUUCAGUUGGGCAGUUAGGUUCAGUUGGGCAGUUAGGUUCAGUUGGGCAGUUAGGUUCAGUUGGGCAGUUAGGUUCAGUUGGGCAGUUAGGUUCAGUUGGGCAGUUAGGUUCAGUUGGGGAGUUAGGUUCAGUUGGGCAGUUAGGUUCAGUUGGGCAGUUAGGUUCAGUUGGGGAGUUAGGUUCAGUUGGGCAGUUAGGUUCAGUUGGGCAGUUAGGUUCAGUUGGGGAGUUAGGUUCAGUUGGGCAGUUAGGUUCAGUUGGGCAGUUAGGUUCAGUUGGGGAGUUAGGUUCAGUUGGGGAGUUAGGUUCAGUUGGGCAGUUAGGUUCAGUUGGGGAGUUAGGUUCAGUUGGGGAGUUAGGUUCAGUUGGACAGUUGGGUUCAGUUGGACAGUUGGGUUCAGUUGGGCAGUUAGGUUCAGUUGGGGAGUUAGGUUCAGUUGGGGAGUUAGGUUCAGUUGGGGAGUUAGGUUCAGUUGGGGAGUUAGGUUCAGUUGGGGAGUUAGGUUCCUUCAAGAACCCCCACCAACUAAGGAGGUUCCUCGAUGAACCCCAUCUCCUGGGGUUAGGGUUAAGGUUAGAAGAACCUUUUGGGGGGCAUUUUCAGUCUCAAGAACCCUAAGGUUCUUCAAAGAACUUUGAGGAUCUCAGAAGAACCCUUGUUGAACCCCUACUUUUUUUUUAGAGUGGACAUUAGUUUAUACUGGAUUAAGGGUACAUUUUCAUUAACUGUAAUUUCGUUAGUUAUUUUUAAGUCUUGGUUCCAAUAGUUUAUAUUAUUUUCUCAGAGAUUGUCAGUUGGAUAGGCUCUCGGCAAGGUUGUUGUAUAUCUUACCUAUUGUAUGAAUAUCUUUGUCUGACUCAGAUAGGAUUUAUCUUUUUUUAUGUAGAUUUCAUUAAGAAUGAUAAAAAAAGAGAGAGGCUUUCCAUAAAACUGUAAUAUGAAAUGUUAUAUUAGAUUGUAAAUAAAACAUUACUGCUUUAGUUUUCUAUGUAGGGAAAUAAUACUGUAAUAAAGGUUUAAGAAUAAAAUGAAGAUAAUUUCUAAUGAACUAUU